rnacentral:rRNA from 1 species
GUGGCGAACGGGUGAGUAACACGUGGGCAAUCUGCCCUUCACUCUGGGACAAGCCCUGGAAACGGGGUCUAAUACCGGAUAACACCUUUCCUCUCAUGGGGAAGGGUUAAAAGCUCCGGCGGUGAAGGAUGAGCCCGCGGCCUAUCAGCUAGUUGGUGGGGUAAUGGCCUACCAAGGCGACGACGGGUAGCCGGCCUGAGAGGGCGACCGGCCACACUGGGACUGAGACACGGCCCAGACUCCUACGGGAGGCAGCAGUGGGGAAUAUUGCACAAUGGGCGAAAGCCUGAUGCAGCGACGCCGCGUGAGGGAUGACGGCCUUCGGGUUGUAAACCUCUUUCAGCAGGGAAGAAGCGAAAGUGACGGUACCUGCAGAAGAAGCGCCGGCUAACUACGUGCCAGCAGCCGCGGUAAUACGUAGGGCGCAAGCGUUGUCCGGAAUUAUUGGGCGUAAAGAGCUCGUAGGCGGCUUGUUGCGUCGGUUGUGAAAGCCCGGGGCUUAACCCCGGGUCUGCAGUCGAUACGGGCAGGCUAGAGUGUGGUAGGGGAGAUCGGAAUUCCUGGUGUAGCGGUGAAAUGCGCAGAUAUCAGGAGGAACACCGGUGGCGAAGGCGGAUCUCUGGGCCAUUACUGACGCUGAGGAGCGAAAGCGUGGGGAGCGAACAGGAUUAGAUACCCUGGUAGUCCACGCCGUAAACGUUGGGAACUAGGUGUUGGC